GUGCUCACUACAGCAGCACAUAUACUGAAAACCUGGAACAAUACAGAGAUUAGCAUGGACGCGGUGCAAGGAUGACAUACAAAUUUGUGAAAGGCUCCAUUAAAAA
ensembl:snRNA U6 U6 spliceosomal RNA